GGUGAUCUAGCCAUGGGCAGGUUGAAGGUUGAGUAACAUCAACUGGAGGACCGAACCCACUAACGUUGAAAAGUUAGGGGAUGACUUGUGGCUGGGGGUGAAAGGCCAAUCAAACCGGGAGAUAGCUGGUUCUCCCCGAAAUCUAUUUAGGUAGAGCCUCGGACGAAUUCCAUUGGGGGUAGAGCACUGUUAAGGCUAGGGGGUCAUCCCGACUUACCAACCCUUUGCAAACUCCGAAUACCAAUGAGAACUAUCCGGGAGACACACGGCGGGUGCUAACGUCCGUCGUGGAGAGGGAAACAACCCAGACCGCCAGCUAAGGUCCCAAAAUAUUGCUAAGUGGGAAACGAUGUGGGAAGGCUUAGACAGCUAGGAGGUUGGCUUAGAAGCAGCCACCCUUUAAAGAAAGCGUAAUAGCUCACUAGUCGAGUCGGCCUGCGCGGAAGAUGUAACGGGGCUAAGCAAUAUACCGAAGCUGCGGCAGCACGUUUACGUGCUGGGUAGGGGAGCGUUGUGUAAGUGGAUGAAGGUGAGUUGUAAAGCUUGCUGGACAUAUCACAAGUGCGAAUGCUGACAUGAGUAACGAUAAUGGGGGUGAAAAACCCCCACGCCGGAAGACCAAGGUUUCCUGUCCCAUGCUAAUCAGGGCAGGGUAAGUCGGCCCCUAAGGCGAGGCAGAAAUGCGUAGUCGAUGGGAAACGGGUUAAUAUUCCCGUACUUAUAUAAUCAGUGAUGGAGGGACGGAGAAGGCUAGGCAAGCUUGGCGUUGGUUGUCCAAGUGAAAGUGCGUAGGCUGGAAUUUUAGGUAAAUCCGGAAUUCUAAGGCCGAGACACGAGACGAGCUCCCAAGGGAGUGAAGUUGUUGAUGCCCUGCUUCCAGGAAAAGCUUCUAAACUUAUGAUUAUAUGAACCGUACCCCAAACCGACACAGGUGGUCAGGUAGAGAAUACUAAGGCGCUUGAGAGAACUCGGGUGAAGGAACUCGGCAAAAUAGUACCGUAACUUCGGGAGAAGGUACGCCCCUGUUUGUGAACACUUCGCGUGGUAAGCAGAUGGGGGUCGCAGUGACCAGGUGGCUGGGACUGUUUAUUAAAAACACAGCACUGUGCUAAAUCGAAAGAUGACGUAUACGGUGUGACACCUGCCCGGUGCCGGAAGGUUAAUUGAUGGGGUUAGCGUAAGCGAAGCUCUUGAUCGAAGCCCCGGUAAACGGCGGCCGUAACUAUAACGGUCCUAAGGUAGCGAAAUUCCUUGUCGGGUAAGUUCCGACCUGCACGAAUGGUGUAACCAUGGCCACGCUGUCUCCACCCGAGACUCAGUGAAAUUGAAAUCGCAGUGAAGAUGCUGUGUACCCGCACCUAGACGGAAAGACCCCGUGAACCUUUACUACAGCUUGGCACUGAACAUUGAACCUACAUGUGUAGGAUAGGUGGGAGGCUUUGAAGCAUUGUCGCUAGAUGAUGUGGAGCCGUCCUUGAAAUACCACCCUUGUAUGUUUGAUGUUCUAACAUUGGUCCCUUAUCGGGAUUGUGGACAGUGUCUGGUGGGUAGUUUGACUGGGGCGGUCUCCUCCCAAAUAGUAACGGAGGAGCACGAAGGUUAGCUAAUCACGGUCGGACAUCGUGAGGUUAGUGCAAUGGCAUAAGCUAGCUUAACUGCGAGACAGACACGUCGAGCAGGUACGAAAGUAGGUCAUAGUGAUCCGGUGGUUCUGUAUGGAAGGGCCAUCGCUCAACGGAUAAAAGGUACUCCGGGGAUAACAGGCUGAUACCGCCCAAGAGUUCAUAUCGACGGCGGUGUUUGGCACCUCGAUGUCGGCUCAUCACAUCCUGGGGCUGAAGUCGGUCCCAAGGGUAUGGCUGUUCGCCAUUUAAAGUGGUACGCGAGCUGGGUUUAGAACGUCGUGAGACAGUUCGGUCCCUAUCUGGUGUGGGCGUUGGAUGAUUGAGGGGAGCUGCUCCUAGUACGAGAGGACCGGAGUGGACGAACCGCUGGUGUUCGGGUUGUUAUGCCAAUAGCAUUGCCCGGUAGCCAAGUUCGGAACGGAUAACCGCUGAAAGCAUCUAAGCGGGAAGCCGGCCCCAAGAUGAGUCAUCCCUGACCUUUAAGGUCUGGAAGGGUUGUUAUAGACGAUGACGUUGAUAGGCAGGGUGUGGAAGCGUUGUAAGGCGUUAAGCUAACCUGUACUAAUUGCCCGAGAGGCUUAACCAUACAACACCCAAG
rnacentral:rRNA from 1 species